rnacentral:tRNA from 1 species
CAGAGUAGUAGUUUAAUUAAAACACUAGCAUUGGAAGCUAAAAACUAGGCCUCAACCUACACUCUGA